AAAUUUACAGAUAUUACUAACUUUCAGUUGCCCAUAGAUGAAAGGACCUAAGCACCACAGUUUCAGCCUCCAUGACUCGACUAAUGUGUCAACGUUUCGCAAAUCCGCCAUGUAAUACAGGUCAUUUUGUUUCUGUAGCAACCGCCCGCUGUAAACUUGGCAGAUGUGAGCAUAGGAGUUAUAUAGAGUUCAAAUAAGGCAACACGAGUAGAGUUCACGUACGGAAACAUUAGAUGGCUGUAGUUCCUCUUGAAUACAUUGAGCUUUUAUGAGUACAUACAAGUUGGAUACUUGGCUUGCAACUAAAGAUGGAUGUGAAAACUAUCUGCGACAACACGUGGAAAUUUAAAGUAUUGCAUUCAUGGUUAGCCGAAAACACAGUGAUUGAUAUGUAGAAACAAUCAAACAGAAAUUUAUAUACUGAUUGAUAUAAAGAAUAUAGAGUUUGAUAUGUGUAACACAUAGAUUGAUGUGUGUAAAACAGAGAUUAAUAUGUGUAACACAGAGAAUGAUGUGCUGAACACACAGAUUGCCAUGUGGCACACGUACAUUGACAUUUGGACGCUCUACAAGCAUGCACAAGUUACAAUGGCGUCGUAUUAUAUGCGUUUGCUCGCUUGCUCGCAAACAAACACGUAAAAUCUGCAUUCAAAUUAAAAACAUUCAUUCUUAAAUAUACGUUUAAGACAUAUCUAAAUUUAUUUUAAUAAAUAUCAUCCCAUU